rnacentral:rRNA from 1 species
GAUGAACGCUGGCGGCGUGCCUAAUACAUGCAAGUCGAGCGAAUGGAUUAAGAGCUUGCUCUUAUGAAGUUAGCGGCGGACGGGUGAGUAACACGUGGGUAACCUGCCCAUAAGACUGGGAUAACUCCGGGAAACCGGGGCUAAUACCGGAUAACAUUUUGAACCGCAUGGUUCGAAAUUGAAAGGCGGCUUCGGCCGUCACUUAUGGAUGGACCCGCGUCGCAUUAGCUAGUUGGUGAGGUAACGGCUCACCAAGGCAACGAUGCGUAGCCGACCGGAGAGGGUGAUCGGCCACACUGGGACUGAGACACGGCCCAGACUCCGACGGGAGGCAGCAGUAGGGAAUCUUCCGCAAUGGACGAAAGUCUGACGGAGCAACGCCGCGUGAGUGAUGAAGGCUUUCGGGUCGUAAAACUCUGUUGUUAGGGAAGAACAAGUGCUAGUUGAAUAAGCUGGCACCUUGACGGUACCUAACCAGAAAGCCACGGCUAACUACGUGCCAGCCGCCGCGGUAA